rnacentral:rRNA from 1 species
AGCAGCCGCGGUAAUUCCAGCUCCAAUAGCGUAUAUUAAAGUUGUUGCAGUUAAAAAGCUCGUAGUUGAAUUUCGGGGUUAGUAGGUUGGUCGUGCCACUGGUACAUACUGGUCUCACUGAUUCCUCCUUCCUGAUGAACUGUAAUGCCAUUAAUUUGGUGUUGCAGGGAAACUGGACUGUUACUUUGAAAAAAUUUAGAGUGUUUAAAGCAAGCUAACGCUUGAAUACAUUAGCAUGGAAUAAUGAAAAUAGGACGUUCGAUCCUAUUUUGUUGGUUUCUAGGAUUGACGUAAUGAUUAAUAGGGAUAGUUGGGGGCAUUAGUAUUCAAUUGUCAGAGGUGAAAUUCUUGGAUUUAUUGGAAGACUAACUACUGCGAAAGCAUUUGCCAAGGAUGUUUUCAUUAAUCAAGAACGAAAGUUAGGGGAUCGAAGACGAUCAGAUACCGUCGUAGUCUUAACCAUAAACUAUGCCGACUAGGGAUCGGAUGAUGUUAAUUUUUUAAUGACUCAUUCGGCGCC